rnacentral:rRNA from 1 species
UGGGAUAAGCCCGGGAAACUGGGUCUAAUACUGGAUGCUACAUGUCACCGCAUGGUGGUGUGUGGAAAGGGUUUACUGGUCUUGGAUGGGCUCACGGCCUAUCAGCUUGUUGGUGAGGUAAUGGCUCACCAAGGCGACGACGGGUAGCCGGCCUGAGAGGGUGACCGGCCACACUGGGACUGAGACACGGCCCAGACUCCUACGGGAGGCAGCAGUGGGGAAUAUUGCACAAUGGGCGAAAGCCUGAUGCAGCGACGCCGCGUGAGGGAUGACGGCCUUCGGGUUGUAAACCUCUUUCAGCAGGGAAGAAGCCACAAGUGACGGUACCUGCAGAAGAAGCGCCGGCUAACUACGUGCCAGCAGCCGCGGUAAUACGUAGGGCGCAAGCGUUGUCCGGAAUUAUUGGGCGUAAAGAGCUCGUAGGCGGUUUGUCGCGUCUGCUGUGAAAGCCCGGGGCUUAACCCCGGGUGUGCAGUGGGUACGGGCAGACUAGAGUGCAGUAGGGGAGACUGGAAUUCCUGGUGUAGCGGUGGAAUGCGCAGAUAUCAGGAGGAACACCGAUGGCGAAGGCAGGUCUCUGGGCUGUUACUGACGCUGAGGAGCGAAAGCAUGGGGAGCGAACAGGAUUAGAUACCCUGGUAGUCCAUGCCGUAAACGUUGGGCACUAGGUGUGGGGGACAUUCCACGUUUUCCGCGCCGUAGCUAACGCAUUAAGUGCCCCGCCUGGGGAGUACGGCCGCAAGGCUAAAACUCAAAGGAAUUGACGGGGGCCCGCACAAGCGGCGGAGCAUGCGGAUUAAUUCGAUGCAACGCGAAGAACCUUACCAAGGCUUGACAUAUACCGGAUCGUUCCAGAGAUGGUUCUUCCCCUUUGGGGUCGGUAUACAGGUGGUGCAUGGUUGUCGUCAGCUCGUGUCGUGAGAUGUUGGGUUAAGUCCCGCAACGAGCGCAACCCUCGUUCCAUGUUGCCAGCACGUGAUGGUGGGGACUCAUGGGAGACUGCCGGGGUCAACUCGGAGGAAGGUGGGGAUGACGUCAAAUCAUCAUGCCCCUUAUGUCUUGGGCUUCACGCAUGCUACAAUGGCCGGUACAAAGGGUUGCGAUACUGUGAGGUGGAGCUAAUCCCAAAAAGCCGGUCUCAGUUCGGAUUGAGGUCUGCAACUCGACCUCAUGAAGUAGGAGUC